UACGUAGGGCGCAAGCGUUAUCCGGAAUUAUUGGGCGUAAAGAGCUCGUAGGCGGUCAGUCGCGUCUGCUGUGAAAACUCGGGGCUUAACUCCGGGCCUGCAGUGGGUACGGGCUGACUAGAGUGCGGUAGGGGAGACUGGAAUUCCUGGUGUAGCGGUGAAAUGCGCAGAUAUCAGGAGGAACACCGGUGGCGAAGGCGGUUCUCUGGGCCUGUACUGACGCUGAGGAACGAAAGCGUGGGGAGCGAACAGG
rnacentral:rRNA from 1 species